CUUUGCUCAGAGCAAACCACGGGAAACCGUGGGGCGCAGAGCCACGGGACUUCCGGUUUGCAGGCAGGAACCUGCGACCAAAGUCAGCCGGGCCGCCAGA
rnacentral:ncRNA from 1 species